GCUCACUUCAGCAGCACAUAUACCGAAAUUGGAAUGAUACAGAGAAGAUUAGCAUGUCCCCUAAACAAGGAUAACACUUUUUUUUAAAAAUCUACUUAAAUACUAUAUAUUUUU
rfam:Macaca mulatta chromosome 11, whole genome shotgun sequence.